rnacentral:misc_RNA from 1 species
AAGUCGUAACAAGGUUUCCGUAGGUGAACCUGCGGAAGGAUCAUUAGUGAUUGCCAUCUUGGCUUAAACUAUAUCCAUCUACACCUGUGAACCGUUUGAUUGAAUCUUCUGAUUCAAUUUUACAAACAUUGUGUAUUGAACGUCAUUAGAUCAUAAUAAGAAAAAACUUUCAACAACGGAUCUCUUGGUUCUG